UAAGUUAUGUAACAUAACUGUUAUUUCAAUAUGUGCAAUUAGUACGUAUUAAAAGUUGUCUGAGCUGUAAAUAACUCAUUUCAAAGUAUAACCGUAAAUCUAUGAACUUUCAAGUUCAAUAAACGUAGGUACGAGUCGUUCUAAUAAAUUUUAAUGUGUAAUUUCAUUUUAUCCCAGCUUCCCGUAUCUUGUUGUAAUUUCAUAAAUAAAUUGUCGCGAACGAUGACCUUUGUGUAACAAACUUCGGUUGGAAAUUCGAAUUAAGUAGUUGUAUAACUUUAAUGUAGGUAUGGUUCCUAGACAUCAUAUUUUUGGCGCUUUUUCCCCAUUUUCAUUCGCCGUCAAUCAUUUUAUGUAAAGAUUUUCAAUAUUUUUAAAUAACUUUUAUGUCCAACAUAUUAAUUUUACUCCACACAACCAAAAUAUGUAUUUUGUAACAAACAACCAGGAAUGAAUAUAAAAAUGAGAAAAAAAUACGAGCUAUUCAACUGUCAGCGACAGUCUCAAGUACCAGGGUAUAAUAGCAGUGGAGGUGGUUAUGCAACAGAGGGCCGGUCGUGCGUCACUCACUGGUCUCCGCUUCGCGGGGUGCUAUACGGACGUAAUAUACAGACGUUCGUUUUCAGCUUUGGACCAAUGUACAACAAGGUAAAUAAUGUGAACGUUACGGUGACGAGCCACACGAGCACGUCAAAUGCAGAGGAAAAAUUAUGUUUGUCCUUAUUGCGCAAUCCCAUUUAGGGUACAAGCCAAUUGUAAAUUUUACGUCACUAGAUUCAACAUACGCAUGCAUACCAAAUUUAAAAGAUUUCAAAAUCAUAAUUUGUCUACACAUGACACUUGGCAAUGAAAACAGCUGAUUGUUCAUUGCACGUUUGAUUUAAAUUUCGCAGGCGAAACUUCUGCGGCACUAUGGGCGCCUGGUUAUGUUGGUAUAAGUUUGGCGCGCGUCUGCUGAACUUCAACUAUUCACGCAUCUCGACGCCAACAAGCAAGGAUAGACGCAUUGGAAGCUCACUUUGCUGGGUACCGCAGUUAUCUGUACCGAUUUGAUUGGUUGGAUCCUUGUACUAUCCAAUUGAGACAUAGACCUCGUCUCAAGGUCCGCGACAGACGUGUUCUUGGUCGGCGAUGAACGAAAUCAUGACGCCGAGGUCAGACAGAGGCCGACAAAUCUAGCGUCUAGCAUGCGUCGUCGUGUACAACUUUAUCAAAUUACGAACGAUUAUACCAGGAAACUAGUUUGGAGAGCGGCGAGCGGGUGAUGUGAAGCGAGGUCUGUGGCGAGGCGCUCAACAAGUGCGGGGGGCGUCGAGCGCAUGGCGCGUCUCUGGCACGUGCAAUCACCUCCGCGCCCCUCCGCCCCGCCGACGCAGACUGACAUUCAAAAGAACUUCCACCCACACCAUGCGACCCUGGUAGACCAGCCGACCGAAUUGGCAGACAUUGUGGAUUUUAGAACAAAAACAAAUAAAACCGAGACAAGUUUC